rnacentral:tRNA from 1 species
GCCACGGUAGCUCAAUUGGUAGAGUAUCGCACACGUAAUGCGAAGACGUGGAAUCGAUCCCCACCUGCGGCA